rnacentral:lncRNA from 1 species
GUGGGGACUGCGUAGUUAGUUAUGGAAUAAUACUCAAAGCUCAUAAUGGACAUAAAUAAGUGUCCCUAUGACCACAAUCUUGUACAAAUAUUGAUCACGUGGUCUUUGUUUCACACUUGGAUGAAAGUCAUGGGAACCUCAACGUAUUCAUUCUACUUGAGCCAAAUGAUUCAAUUUGUACAUGUGGGUAUAAAAUAUUUCAUUAGGCAAACACUAAAUAGAAACACUUUAUUUAUUUGAGUUACAUAGGGAAAGAAAAAAAAACCACUUCAUUGAACCAUUCUAACUUUACAACCUACAUGCCUCCAUCAAUUAAAAUUUGAGUGUUUAAACAAACAUUGGAAAUUAUAUUUACCAAGUUUAGAAAAAUUAAUGAGACUUUCUAGAAAUAAAGUUUUGAUUGGGUGUUGUUAAUUAAAUCUUGAAUUUCCCAUUAUUCUUGAAUAGCUUAGAUUCUCAGCCUUUUAUUGAUGUACAUGUUGUAAGAAAAAAUUCCGUAUAUAUUAAGAUUGAGGCUAGAAGAGCCAUCAUAGGCAAUUUAAUUCGCGCCAGAGGGACUACUUUGGACAUUAAGAAUCCCUUAAACGUCAGCAAAUCCACAGUCUGUCGGGCCAAAAAUCGUUUGUCUGAUAGGGACAACCUUAAGGACAAGUCCAAGAGUUGAAAACCCACCGAAAUGAAGCCUGAAGACAUCAUGGAGGUCAACAAUGAAGAUAUCAGAGUUUGGCAAGAAGAAAAAGGAGCAUCAGUCUAGAAGAAGGCCUACAAAGUCUGCCAACCUACAUAAUAUUGAUGCCUUGAAGAUCCCUUUUAACCAGCAAUGGAGGACCAUGAAAAAAGACUACGCUGCUAAUUUGUGCAAGGAGUUCCAGAGUAGGUUGGAGUUUGUCAUUGAGGCGGAUGGUGGGCAGACUCAUAAUUAAUCUGCAUUUUUAUUGUAAAAAAUAACAAUAAAAUCAAAAUUUUCUAAGUA